rnacentral:lncRNA from 1 species
GCAUCUAUAGUCUACCCUACCAAGCGACAGACAGCAAAAGUCAAAACAAGUUCACGAAAAUCACACACAAUUCACAACCACCACAAAAAUGAUAGAAGACCACCGUGCCGAACCUUCCCAUGCCGCCAUCUUUGCAGUGGUGGUUGUGUUAGAAGUAGUGGUGCCAAGAUUACUCGGUGACAAAGAUGAAGCCCUUACUAAGUUCAUCGUCGAGUUACUCACCUUGUUGGGCUCCUC